CCUCCAUUUCUUGGCAGGGUCAGGUUUUGCANUACCUGGUUCUGUAAUGUCCGGAGGUAAAGAAAUCCCUUCCCAGUGUUCUGUCUUCGGUACCAGCGGCUUUACCAUCUGCUGGUUCUAUCCUCAAGCAUUGGGACAAAC
rnacentral:snoRNA from 1 species